rnacentral:rRNA from 1 species
GAUCAUGGCUCAGGACGAACGCUGGCGGCGUGCUUAACACAUGCAAGUCGAACGAAGAUGCCGAGGGAGCUUGCUCCCAUGGCAGACUGAGUGGCGGACGGGUGAGUAACGCGUGAGUAACCUGCCUUCAAGAGGGGGACAACUUAGGGAAACUUAAGCUAAUACCGCAUGACGUUAAUUUAUCGCAUGAUAGAUUAAUCAAAGAUUUAUCGCUUGAAGAUGGACUCGCGUCCG